rnacentral:ncRNA from 1 species
GUACAAGUAUAAGCAAUUUGUACCGUGAAACUGCAAAUGGCUCAUUAAAUUAGUUAUCGUUUAUUUGAUAGUACCUUACUACUUGGAUAACCGUGGUAAUUCUCGAGCUAAUACAUGCUAAAAACCCUGACUUUGGGAGGGGUGUAUUUAUUAGAUAAAAAACCAAUGCCCUCCGGGGCUCUUUGGUAAUUCUGUCAAGACCAUGCAUAGAGCGGAUCAUAUGGGUAUGAGUAGACUAGGAUUCUAAACGAAGGAAGAG